GACGAACGCUGGCGGCGUGCUUAACACAUGCAAGUCGAACGAAGUGGGAACGGGGGAGUAAUACGUGAGUAACCUCCCUCCUUUUUGGGAUAAGCCUUGGAAACGGGGUCUAAACCGGAUAGAUGGGCUCGCGGCCUAUCAGCUUGUUGGUGGGGUGAUGGCCUACCAAGGCGUAGACUGGUCGGCGGCCUGAGAGGGUGGCCUGGCACAUUUGGACUGGGGUACGGGCCAAACUCCUACGGGAGGCAGCAGUAGGGAAUCUUCGGCAAUGGGCGGAAAGCUUGCCGAGCAACGCCGGGGGGGUGAAAAAGGUUUUCGGAUCGUUAAGCUAUGUUUUUAGAGGAGCGGUAACUAACCAGAAAGGGACGGCUAACUACGUGCCAGCAGCCGCGGUAAUAC
rnacentral:rRNA from 1 species